rnacentral:rRNA from 1 species
UACGGAGGGGGGCUAGCGUUGUUCGGAAUUACUGGGCGUAAAGCGCACGUAGGCGGCUUUGUAAGUUAGAGGUGAAAGCCCAGGGCUUAACCCUGGAAUUGCCUUUAAGACUGCACUCGCUAGAAUUGUGGAGAGGUAAGUGGAAUUCCGAGUGUAGAGGUGAAAUUCGUAGAUAUUCGGAAGAACACCAGUGGCGAAGGCGACUUACUGGACACAUAUUGACGCUGAGGUGCGAAAGCAUGGGGAGCAAACAGG